UGAUCUUAUAAAAAUUCUGAAUAAAAUAUAUUGUACAACAUUCAGAUUUUUCGUUCGAUUUUUGAAUGCUGAACUAGUUUACAGCAAUAGCCAAUCAAAAAAUUGUUUGGUGAAUUUGUUCCGCAUAAUGGUGUGUAGCAUCAUUUGUCUGUCAAGAAUCAUCAUAUUAAUAUGUGUAAUAUUAUAAUUGUGACAUGUUGAAUUGUUAAUCAUUAGAAAAAAUGAAGUGACUUUAGUUUUUUGUAUCUUGAUAUCGAAGAUAAUUGUUUAAUGUGUUUUAUAUAUUUUUAUGGUAUAUUAAUUCACACAUAUUAUCAGAAAUAAGAAGCAAGAAAAUAUGAUAUUUUAUAAUAUAAUAAUGAUAAUAAUUAUUUAUUAUCAAUUGGCAACUACUUGCGCCAUUAUCGAUACGAUCGCUUAUCAACCUUGCCUGUCGAAUUACUUCGUUAUCAAAUGAAGAUAUAGUCGUGCCUGAAUUUUUAAUUUAAUUUAUUAUAAUAUUAUUUACGAGUAAUAAGAUACAUGUUUUCUAAUACUGGUAAGUGAUUUUUUUUUUUAUAAUAUAUGUACUGACCAUAAAUAUUUUGAUUUUCUUGUA